rnacentral:rRNA from 1 species
GUAUGAACCCCACCAUCACCACCGUCCGCAACGGGCCGGUGGCGGUCUGGAUCGCGACCUCAGGUCAGGCGGGGCCACCCGCUGAGUUUAAGCAUAUCAAUAAGCGGAGGAGAAGAAACUUACGAGGAUUCCCCUAGUAACGGCGAGCGAAACGGGAAGAGCCCAGCUUGAGAAUCGGGCAGCCCCGCUGCUCGAAUUGUAGUCUGUAGAAGCGUCCUCAGUGACGGACCGGGCCCAAGUCCCCUGGAACGGGGCGCCGGAGAGGGUGAGAGCCCCGUCGUGCCCGGACCCUGCCGCACCACGA